AUUGAACGCUGGCGGCAGGCCUAACACAUGCAAGUCGAACGAGUGGCGGACGGGUGAGUAAUGUCUGGGAAACUGCCCGAUGGAGGGGGCUAACUACUGGAAACGGUAGCUAAUACCGCAUACCAUCAGAUGUGCCCAGAUGGGAUUAGCUAGUAGGUGGGGUAAUGUCUCACCUAGGCGACGAUCCCUAGCUGGUCUGAGAGGAUGACCAGCAAAACUGGAACUGAGACACGGACCAGACGCCUACGGUAGGCAGCAGUGGGGAAUAUUGCACAAUGGGCGCAAGCCGGAUGCAGCCAUGCCGAGUGUAUGAAGAAGGCCUUCGGGUUGUAAAGUACUUUCAGCGGGGAGGCGUUACCCGCAGAAGAAGCACCGGCUAACUUCGUGCCAGCCGCCGCGGUAAUAC
rnacentral:rRNA from 1 species